rnacentral:rRNA from 1 species
GACGAACGCUGGCGGCGUGCUUAACACAUGCAAGUCGAACGGAAAGGCCCUGCUUUUGUGGGGUGCUCGAGUGGCGAACGGGUGAGUAACACGUGAGUAACCUGCCCUUGACUUUGGGAUAACUUCAGGAAACUGGGGCUAAUACCGGAUAUGAGCUCCUGCUGCAUGGUGGGGGUUGGAAAGUUUCGGCGGUUGGGGAUGGACUCGCGGCUUAUCGGCUUGUUGGUGUGGUAGUGGCUUACCAAGGCUUUGACGGGUAGCCGGCCUGAGAGGGUGACCGGCCACAUUGGGACUGAGAUACGGCCCAGACUCCUACGGGAGGCAGCAGUGGGGAAUAUUGCACAAUGGGCGGAAGCCUGAUGCAGCAACGCCGCGUGCGGGAUGACGGCCUUCGGGUUGUAAACCGAUUUCGCCUGUGACGAAGAGUGAGUGACGGUAAUGGGUAAAGAAGCACCGGCUAACUACGUG